ACCCUUAGACGACGAGGAGAUACUUUCAUAUAAUCUUACCGGCCUCGACAUCAAGUUUAAUCCAAUUGUCUCGGCCAUUGUUGCAAGAGUGGAGCCUAUCACACUGACUGAGCUAUAUGCGCAACUCUUAAGCUUUGAGA